rnacentral:rRNA from 1 species
UACGAAGGGGGCUAGCGUUGCUCGGAAUCACUGGGCGUAAAGGGUGCGUAGGCGGGUUAUUAAGUCAGAGGUGAAAUCCUGGAGCUCAACUCCAGAACUGCCUUCGAUACUGAGAGUCUCGAGUCCGAGAGAGGUGAGUGGAACUGCGAGUGUAGAGGUGAAAUGCGUAGAUAUCGGGAGGAACACCAGUGGCGAAGGCGAACUACCCUGGCCUGUUCUUGACGCUGAGGCGCGAAAGCGUGGG